GGCCACGUGGCGGAGUGGUGACGCAGCGGACUGCAAAUCCGUUUACCCCGGUUCGAGUCCGGGCGUGGCCUCCA
rnacentral:tRNA from 1 species